rnacentral:rRNA from 1 species
UAGUACGGCGAGUGAGAGGGAAGAGCCCAAGAUUGAAAGCUGGCGUCUUCGGCGUCCGCAUUGUAAUCUCAAGAAGUGUUUUCCGCUUCGGACCAUGCCUAAGUCCCUUGGAAAAGGGCAUCAUAGAGGGUGAUAAUCCCGUACAUGGCAUGGAGCGCCCGAAGCUUUGUGAUACGCUUUCUAAGAGUCGAGUUGUUUGGGAAUGCAGCUCAAAAUGGGUGGUAAAUGCCAUCUAAGGCUAAAUAUUGGGGAGAGACCGAUAGCGAACAAGUACAGUGAUGGAAAGAUGAAAAGAACUUUGAAAAGAGAGUUAAACAGUACGUGAAAUUGCCAAAAGGGAAGGGUAGGAGGUCAGAGAUGCGUUCUGGGAUUCAGCCUUGCUUUUGCUUGGUGUUUUUCCCAGAUUGCAGGCCAACGUCGGUUUUGGGCGCUGGAGAAGGGUGGAAGGAAUGUGGCACCUCUCGGGGUGUGUUAUAGCCUUCUACUGGAUACAGUGACCGAGACCGAGGACAGCAGCGUACUCGCAAGAGCGGGCCUUCGGGCACCUUUACGCUUAGGGCGUUGGCAUAAUGGCCCUCUACCACCCGUC